CAGCCACAUCACAUUGAAAUACUGCUUCCUGUAUGAUCACCGAAGUUAAGCAACAUUGAGCCUGGAGCGUACCUAGGUAGGUGACCACUUGAGAAUACCAGGUGCUGUAA